rnacentral:lncRNA from 10 species
CUCCCCAGCAGCUGGGACCACAGGUGCGUGCCACCAUGCCCAGCUAAUAUUUUUUUGUAGAGAUGCAGUUUUGCCACAUUGUUCAGGCUGGUCUCUAACUCCUGAGCUCAAGCGAUCUGUCUGCCUCAUCCUGCGAUCUCGGAUCAGUGCAACCUCCACCUCCCGGGUUCAAGUGAUUCUCCUGUCUCAGCCUCCCGAGUAGCUGGGAUUACAGGUGCCCGCCACCACACCCGGCUAAUUUUUUAAUUUUUAGUAGAGACGAGGUUUCACCAUGUUGGCCAGGCUGGUCUCGAACUCCUGACCUCAGGUGAUCCACCUGCCUCGGCCUCCCAAAGUGCUGGUAUUACAGGUGUGAGCCACCACGCCCAGCCUUGUUUCUUAGGUCUUAUCUCUCUGGGUGUCCUCUCUGUCCCUCUUUCUCUGGGUCCCCAUCUCUGUGUUUCUGUCUCUCCGUGUCUCUGUCUCUCCUUGGGUUUCAUGUCUGUGUCUCUCUUUGGGUCUCUAUAUUUUUUGUUUGUUUCUCCAGGCCUCUGUCUCGGGAUCUCUGUCUCUUCCCAUCUCUGGACUCCCCUCUCUCUGGUUCACAUCCGUUUGUCUGUGUGUGCCUGGACCCACAUCUCUCGCCAGGUCUCUGUCUCAGCUCUGCUGUCUCUCUCACUCUCUGUAUCUCUUCUCUUUCUGUGUAUGUGUGUGUCUCUGUGUAUCUGUCAUUCAGGCCUCAUCUCUCUGCAGUCCUGAAUCUCCGAGAUGGAGAGGGGGCUGUCACAGCUUCCCAUUCCUGGUCUCUGUCCCCACGGGGUGCCCCCUCUCCCCAUCUCUCUCUGCCUCAUUUCUCUGGCACCAUCUGCCAGCACCCCAGGCCCCCGCCUGCUCCCCGCAGGGUCUGCUUAGCCAGGCAGCCCCAUGUGGGGAGACACAGGCCUUGCAGCUUCCACCCCACCCUUGCAUCCUGGACAGGGGCACUGCCUGGUCAUUGCUGGAGGGCCGGGGGAGGCAGGAGUGCAGGAGACCAGAGCCAGGAGACCAGGGACCAGGGGCAAUGGAUAGAAACAGACGCAAUCCCAGAGAGGAGAUGGAAAAAGGGGAAGAGAAAGGAGAAACUUUAAAGACUGGCAAAAUGAGGCUAAUCCAGAGGGAGAGAGAGAGAGUGAAAGAACCCAGCAGAGAGGCAGAAUGAAACAUGGAAAAAGAGAAGAGAAAAGCCUUCCCAACAGACAGGAGAGGAAGACAGAGGCAAACUGAGUGUGGGCUCAGAGAAAAGGAGUAAAGAGGCAGGGCACAGUGGUGCACACCUGUAAUCCCAGCACUUUGGGAGGCUGAGGCAGAUGAAUCACUUGAGCCCAGAAGUUCAAGACCAGCCUGGACAACAUAGCGAGACACCACCUCUACAAAAAGUACAAAAAUUGGCUGGGCACCAUGGUUCACACCUGUAAUCCCAGCACUUUGAGAGGCCAAGGCAGGUGAAUCACCUGAGGCCAGGAGUUCGAGACCAGCCUGGCCAACAUGGUGAAAUCCCAUCUCUACGAAAAAUACAAAAUUAGUUGGGCAUGGUAGGCACAUGCUGUAAUCCCAGAUACCUGGGAGGCUGAGGCACGAGAAUCUCUUGAACCCGGGAAGUGGAGGUUGCAGUGAGCCGAGAUGGCACCACUACACUCCAGCCUGGGUGACAGAGACAAACUCCAUCUCAAAAAAACAAAAACAAACAAACCAAAAGGCUGGACACGUAAUCCCAGCACUUUGGGAAGCCGAGGCGGGCUGAUCAUGAGGUCAGGAGUUUGAGACCAGCCUGGCCAACACAGUGAAACGCCGUCUCUACUAAAAAAAAUACAAAGAAUUAGCUAGGCAUGGUGGCAGGCGCCUGUAAUCCCAGCUACUUGGGAGGCUGAGGCAGGAGAAUCGCUUGAACCUGGGAGGUGGAGGUUGCAGUGAGCUGAGAUCGCACCAGGGAACUCCAGCCCGGGCGACAGUGUGAGACUCCGUCUCAAACAACAACAACAACAAAAAUUAGCCAGGUAUGGUGGCAUGCGUCUGUGGUCCCAACUACUCAGGAGGCUGAGGUGGGAGGAUUGCUUGAACCCAGGUAGGGGGGUCGAGGCUGCGUUAAGCUGUGAUCACUCUACUGUGCUCCAGCCUAGGCAACAGAGGGAGAACCUGUCUCAAAAGAAAAGAAGAGGAGUGAGGAGAUAUUUGGAUGAAAGAGAGAAACAAGUUUUCAGAAGCCAUGAGCAACGCAGCUGGAGGGAGCCUGUGCAGCCAGCCCCUUUGCAGACGCUGGGAGACAACAGAGGACCCCAGGAGGGCUGAGGUGGGCAGAAGACCAGGCAUCUACCCACCCCUGACUCCUCAUCCUGUCUUCAGAAGUCUCACUCUGAUGCCCAGCGCUGUGGUGCAGUCUCAGCUCACUGCAAUCUCUGCCUCCCAGGUUCAAGUGAUUCUCCCACCUCAAUCUCCCGAGCAGCUGGGAUUACAGGCACGCGCCACUACACCCAGCUAACUUUUGUAUUUUAGUAGAAAUGGAGUUUCACCAUGUUGGUCAGGCUGGUCUCGAACUCCUGACCUCGGUCUCCCAAAGUGCUGGGAUUACAGGCGUGAGCCACGGCACCUAGCCUCUCCUCUUUUCUUUUCCCUUCCCUCCCCUCCCCUCCCCUGCCCUUCUUUUCUUUUGAGACAGGGUCUCCCUCUGUUGCCGAGGCUGGAGUAUAGUGGUAUGAUCACAGCUCACUGCAGCCUCGACCCCCUCCCCGGGCUCAAGCAAUUUUCACUCAGCCUUUCCAUCUCGCAGUUUCU